rnacentral:rRNA from 1 species
UACAGAGACCUCAAGCGUUAUCCGGAUUUAUUGGGCGUAAAGCGCGUGUAGGCGGGCUUAUUAGUCAGAUGUCAAAUCUCCGAGCUCAACUCGGAAACUGCAUUUGAAACGGUAAGUCUGGAGAGAGCGAGAGACCAAUGGAACGUAUGGUGUAGCAGUGAAAUGCGUUGAUAUCAUACGGAACACCAAAGGCGAAGGCAUUUGGUUGGCGCUCAUCUGACGCUGAGACGCGAAAGCGUGGGUAGCGAAUGGG